GCAGACUCACUCUGUUUAAGACUGACACAUCCAGCCUUAAACUUUCUAUGUCUGCGACAGUAACGUUAUAAGAAGAACGUUAUGACCUUCCUUGCCAUUCACUUGGGAGGUGACCGUGUCUUCUCAGACAUUUUU